AUGUUUUCUACUACAAUUUACUGGUUGGGCUGUUGUGAUUCUGACUUUGCUUUUACUUGCGAUACCAUGAUAAUUGUUUCUGAACUUGUAGAAAAUUUCCUUUUCAACCUCUAUUGUGAACCAAAGCUUGGAUUUGUGAUUUAUAAUAGAGGUCACGGGCCAAUGAUAGGACCACAAUUCUGA